CAGUCAUACCAACGGGAAAUCAACCUUUUGAGCUCGGUCUCGUGGGUUUUGAAGAGUUUCAAAGCCUUCGGAUUCGCGAGAUUGGGAUCUCUCGGUGUACUUUCUCGUACGGUUAGUCAACAUCGGUUUUGAAUGUCAUAAAAUGACUGGAGGAAUGUAGCUUCGAUCUCGUAUUGAAGUGUUAUAGCCUUUGGUAGAUGUGAUGUUUGAGACCGAGGAUUGCAACGGAUACCCUUCAGGGCUAUUCGUCUGAUCUCUGAUACGUUGCCCUGAUGUUGAAAGCUUGCUUAUGAUGUUAGGGUAUUACGGUCAAAAGGUUAGAACUCAUUAGA
rnacentral:rRNA from 1 species